rnacentral:rRNA from 1 species
GAUGAACGCUGGCGGCGUGCCUAAUACAUGCAAGUCGAGCGAACGGACGAGAAGCUUGCUUCUCUGAUGUUAGCGGCGGACGGGUGAGUAACACGUGGAUAACCUACCUAUAAGACUGGGAUAACUUCGGGAAACCGGAGCUAAUACCGGAUGAUAUUUUGAACCGCAUGGUUCAAAAGUGAAAGACGGUCUUGCUGUCACUUAUAGAUGGAUCCGCGCUGCAUUAGCUAGUUGGUAAGGUAACGGCUUACCAAGGCAACGAUGCAUAGCCGACCUGAGAGGGUGAUCGGCCAAACUGGAACUGAGACACGGUCCAGACUCCUACGGGAGGCAGAAGUAGGGAAUCUUCAGCAAUGGGCGAAAGCCUGACGGAGCAACGACGCGUGAGUGAUGAAGGUCUUCGGAUCGUAAAACUCUGUUAUGAGGGAAGAACAUAUGUGUAAGUAACUGUGCACAUCUUGACGGUAACUAAUCAGAAAGCCACGGCUAACCACGUG